rnacentral:rRNA from 1 species
CCUACGGGAGGCAGCAGUGAGGAAUAUUGGUCAAUGGGCGGGAGCCUGAACCAGCCAAGCAGCGUGAGGGAGGACGGCCCAGAGGGUCGUAAACCUCUUUUGUCAGGGAACAAAGUGCCGGACGUGUGCCUUUUUGUGUGUACCUGAUGAAAAAGCAUCGGCUAACUCCGUGCCAGCAGCCGCGGUAAUACGGAGGAUGCGAGCGUUAUCCGGAUUUAUUGGGUUUAAAGGGUGCGCAGGCGGGCUUUUAAGUCAGCGGUAAAAACGCGGGGCUCAACCCCGCCCCGCCGUUGAAACUGGGGGCCUUGAGUGGGCGAGAGGCAGGCGGAAUGCGCGGUGUAGCGGUGAAAUGCAUAGAUAUCGCGCAGAACCCCGAUUGCGAAGGCAGCGUGCCGGCGCCCCACUGACGCUGAGGCACGAAAGUGCGGGGAUCGAACAGGAUUAGAUACCCGGGUAGUC